UUAUGGCAGAUAAAUGCACUAAAUUUAAGAUUUAAUUAUGAAAAUAUUCUUUUAGAA
rnacentral:tRNA from 1 species